rnacentral:rRNA from 1 species
UACGUAGGGGGCAAGCGUUGUCCGGAUUUAUUGGGCGUAAAGAGCGUGUAGGCGGCCUGACAGGUCUGCUGUGAAAACUCGAGGCUCAACCUCGAGAUGUCGGCGGAAACCGUCUGGCUAGAGUCCGGAAGAGGAGAGUGGAAUUCCUGGUGUAGCGGUGAAAUGCGCAGAUAUCAGGAGGAACACCGAUGGCGAAGGCAGCUCGGCUGGGACGGUACUGACG